GUAUGGUCACACGCCUGAAAUCUCCAACUGCUGCAUAAGGAACCCGGCAACAGAGUCUUCACUGACCAGAUCCCGGUGCCCGGACACUGACAUCAAGCUGGUCGCAGAUCCGUGCCACAUCGCUUGCGGAGCCUGCCAGCUUCCUCCCACAGGACGAGCUCAUACCCUGCUCACAGCGACACCUUCACCAGCACGAGCCGAUACAUUGGCAACCACAGGUAACAUUCACCCAGAGGCCAGGAGCAGCCUGUGCCAACCUGCGGAGUCAUCCAUUCAUGUAUAAGAUCAAGGAUGGAUCAGAAAAUGACGGUAAUAGCUGGAGUACAUUCCAAUUCAAGACAUAAAGUGUGAUACAAAAUAGAAAACACAUCCCCUUACGGGACUUUUAGGAGGAACCUCAUACAGAUCAAUAUAGCCAGCCAGGCUCUAUCAAUCACAGAACCGGGACCAGGAAGAGAGGAAAGGCCUAUCUCUGACAUGUUCUAUCUCCAUGUGAAAUGCUUGAAGAACACAAACAGCAGAAUAUCUCGGAUUAAUAUAUUAAAAACUAGCUGUAUGACUAGCUUGAUGGAUUAGGGAUACAAGUGAUGAGAUUUGUUUGAAGAUAUCAUCUUAUUGGCCCAUCACCAAUCUGAUAAGACCAGUUUCCAUGACAACUGACUUUGAGUGAGAAAGGAAAUAUCUAAAAAAAGAUGCGGCAGGAUAUUUUUUUUCUAACAGUGACAGAUGCAAGUAUGACACAUAUGGCUGAAUCUGCCACGUUUCAUUAUGAGAUUGAACACAAUGACACAACUCAUGCAACCAGAAUACGUUCAUGCUUAUCUGGGAAGUUAUGGCUGCAGUUAAAAUGUAUUCAUUUGGAAACAGUCAGGAUCCUGCCUGCGCAUUCAUCGGCUCCUCUCAACAAAUAAAAUCUAAUGAACUCCCAUCAGUCAGAAGAAAGCUUCAAGGAGUCUCCGGGGAAUCAUUUUUUUCUUUUUCAAGGAAUGAUAGUGGUCUCUUUGAUUUAUUAUGGAAACAUUUGAAAAAGCAACGCAAUACGGGCACAAGUGUAUUCCAGAUAGAUCACACAGCAUAUGUAUGCGCGAAUAGUCUCCAAUCUGAUUUUACAAUACACAAGAGAAUGUUACUAUGACCUUCACUGAACGCAAUGAAAGGAAGAGCACUAUAACAUAUGAUGCAAUGUUCUUAUGUGUUAUCAACAUUUAGCUCCCAACAGAUGGUCUAUUUGUAGAGGCUAUGGACACCUUUUACAUAGAGAAAUGGUUUUUAACAUACAGUAUGUUGGUUGUUACCUUGAGUAAAAAAUUCUGGCUGCAAUCUCCGUUCCAUCAUUUAUUUUA